GCAUUGGUGGUUCAGUGGUAGAAUUUCUGCCUUCCAUUCAGGAAAUCUGGGUUCAGUUCCAGCCAGUACC
rnacentral:tRNA from 1 species